rnacentral:sRNA from 1 species
CUUUCACCGCAGAGACGAAUCCUCCACCCCCACCUGGCUUCACUCUCCUCCAGCGGAAGAAGAAUUCAGAACUGACUGUCCUUGGUGGUGAGGGGAAACUGAGUUCCAGGGUAGGCUCCAGAGUGAAGAGGGAAGAAACAUGAUUCUCAAGGCCCAGGUCUGGACAAGUGUGAACACCUUGGGCCUGCGAAUUCAGCCCCCUCCUUCCUUUCUCUGGUCAAAGGCUAGACUUGCAGGAGCUUGCGUUUGAAGGGACAGCCCAGAAGGCAUCGUCUGCACUCCCCAUACAGGUGUGCCCGGAGAGGCUGAGCAGCCUGCGCCUGAGCUGGUGGAGGUGGAAGUGGGCAGCACAGCCCUUCUGAAGUGCGGCCUCUCCCAGUCCCAAGGCAACCUCAGCCAUGUCGACUGGUUUUCUGUCCACAAGGAGAAGCGGACGCUCAUCUUCCGUGUGCGCCAGGGCCAGGGCCAGAGCGAACCUGGGGAGUACGAGCAGCGGCUCAGCCUCCAGGACAGAGGGGCUACUCUGGCCCUGACUCAAGUCACCCCCCAAGACGAGCGCAUCUUCUUGU